rnacentral:rRNA from 1 species
GAGGUCCGACCUGCCCAGUGAUAUUAAUUCAACGGCCGCGGUAUUCUGACCGUGCUAAGGUAGCACAAUCACUUGUCUCUUAAAUGGGGACUAGUAUGAAAGGCCCCACGAGGGUCUAACUGUCUCCUUUUUUUAAUCUGUGAAACUAAUCUCCCCGUGAAGAAGCGGGGAUUAUUAUAUAAGACGAGAAGACCCUAUGGAGCUUUAGAUAAAACAAUAUAUUUCCCCCCCAUUCCCUGCUAUUUCAGAAAAUCAACUACCAAGGAAUUUUAUUGCUAGUCUUUGGUUGGGGCGGCCGCGGAGAAAAACUUAUCCUCCACGAUGAGUGGGAACUUCCCAUAAUAAAGAGCCACAGCUCAGUGUAUCAAAAAAUUGACAAUUGACCCAAUAUUUGAUCAACGAAACAAGUUACCCUAGGGAUAACAGCGCAAUCUACUUCAAGAGUACUUAUUGACGAGUGGGUUU